rnacentral:misc_RNA from 1 species
UGACAAAUAGCCCUAAAAUGGUGUAUUUGAGAUAUGUUUUUCAUGUGGGAAUCUUCUGCCCCUCAUUAUGAAAACUCUAUAAAACUGCAUAAGUGGUCUGCAUAAGUUAUGCAGUCCUUUAUGCAGUUUUCAGUAGGUUUUUAGGCCUUCUGUGUGAAGUUGCAUAAGCAAGGAUUAAGUCUGCAUACGUCAUGCAGUGACUUAUGCAGAUUUCGGCA